rnacentral:lncRNA from 1 species
GGGCAUGUAAGGGCACUUAAAUUCUUUCUUUGCCUCAAAAUUUCAAGAGUCGGUCGGUUGAGCGGGCGUCGUGCACGGCGGUCGUUCGUUUACGUCAUUUUUGUGUGUGCUGCGUGCCUUACGUUGCAUGAUCUUGGCAUCCAAGCUGGCAUCGGUGACCGAUUGGGGUUGUCGAUGCACGGCGUGGGUGCUCAGACGGUGCAGUUCGUGACGGCGCGUGGGUAGCGGUGGGCAUGUUUGGGCUGGUCGGAUCCCCGCUGGUGCGGUGACGUCUUCCUUCACAUUCCCCUUCAAUCGUUGGCGCAAGAGCAGCAUCGUUAGCCUUGGCCGCCCACGGGUUUCCUGUGUUGCAUACCUAUUAGAAGGAAUUCGGAUGCCACAACAUUCAACGUUCUCCCAACGCCGUCCCGCCCGGUCGGGCUGCGGCGGCGUCGGGGAACCGCAAAGGCGAGGCCGUGUUCCGAGUCGCAGCCAAGCGAUGCGUCUCGGCCCACGAACUGUAGCCCGAGCUCUUGGACGCGGAACACCGGGAGGGCAGGAGAUCGUCGAUCUCUAUUUGCCUGAACUUGGCGUCAAUCGCCCGCAUCGAACGACUGCCAUCGUCGC